AUUGAACGCUAGCGGGAUGCCUUACACAUGCAAGUCGAACGGAGUGGCGAACGGGUGAGUAAUGUAUAGGAACGUGCCCAGUAGCGGGGGAUAACUACGCGAAAGCGUAGCUAAUACCGCAUACUAUUGGAGCGGCCGAUAUCGGUUUAGCUAGUUGGUGGGGUAACGGCUCACCAAGGCGUCGAUCCGUAGCUGGUUUGAGAGGGGGACAAGACAAACGGGGACUGAGAAACGGCCCAGACUCCUACGGGAGGAAGCAGUGGGAAAUUUUGGACAAGGGGGGAAAGCCUGAUCCGGCCAUCCCGGGGGUGCGGUGAAGGCCUUCGGGUUGUAAAGCACUUUUGGCAGGACAGCGGUACCUGCAGAAUAAGCACCGGCUAACUACGUGCCAGCAGCCGCGGUAAUAC
rnacentral:rRNA from 1 species